CCCAAUGGCUGAACAAUUCAUAAGCACAGGCCAUAAAUGACCGAGUUGGCCAGCGCAUUAAGCACCGUGUUCCCCUCCAAAAACCCCUGAAAGAGUAAGACUCUGGAGUACAGCCAACAUGCCAGGAGCCAAAGGAAAUAAAUCGGACAAGAAGUCAGCUACCAAGCAACCUCAGAGUCCUAAAGAUCAGCCAAAAAAAGGUGAUCAGAAAGGAGAUGACAACAAGAAGCAAGGAGGACAGCCGAAAGGAGAAGAGAAGCAAUAACUUCCAGGCGUUUGUGAAGAUGGCUUUGGAGACACUGCUGGGGUCCUGUCACCAUAAACACGGGGGUCCCCAGGGAAGACAGGGCUGAGCGUCCGUCCCCUGCACUACCACACCUGCUCGCCUCCACAGAGAGGCACAAGGCAAAUUUCCAUCCAUCAUCAUCCGUUUCACCGCUUGGUUCCUGUUCAUCCCAAACCCCUUACCCUUCCUCACUAGAAUCUGAAAAAAAAGACAUUCAUUUAGAUCAGACCAACCCAUUCCUUCUUUAUACCAACAUGGACCAUUCAACAGUCCAAAUGUUCUUUUUGUAAUUAAAACUGAAAACUGUUUAUUACAUCA